UUCAGGGUCCCUUUCCUGCGUUGCAAGUAGGGCAGCACAGUCUGUGCUCCGUCCAUCCUGGGCAGCUUUCUUGGGCCUUGAGGGAACAGCUCACAGUGAAUCAGGAUUCUGUUGUCCUUUGCUGCCUAUUGAUUUACAGGAGCAUUGUGACCUGACCAAGGACAAAGAAGAUCCCAACUUCGUCGGACCCUAGCUGGCAUCCAGAUGCCUGCAAUUGUCAUCACCUCUUGAUCUAAACCACCUUUUCCUCCUCAUAUUCACCUACCAUAAAAACCUUCUUGCCAGCCA